rfam:Penicillium steckii strain IBT 24891 PENSTE_contig016, whole genome shotgun sequence.
ACAUACGACCAUAGGGUGUGGAGAACAGGGCUUCCCGUCCGCUCAGCCGUACUUAAGCCACACGCCGGCAGGUUAGUAGUAUGGUGGGUGACCACAUGCGAAUCUCUGCUGUUGUAUGUU